CGUUACCGUUACUGAAAAAAAAAAUAACGAAAACGGUGACGAUUACAAGAAACGCGUUACUUUCUAACUCUGCAAACAUUUUCCCACUUGUUCCUCAAUUGCGUCAUACUUGUAACAUUGCCAGCUCACGUGAUCUAUGUCCUUGGGAAAAAUUCGAUUAAAUAAGCAUUACUAAUACGGUUACACGGAAAGCGAUCAUACGCGCGGAUUGUUGCGGCGUCGAGCGACGCAGUGACGAGGGCAGCGGUAGGUGUGGAAAGUCGUCUCACUCUAUUCUUUAUUAAGCGGCGUCUAUAAUAAGUCUUAAAACUCAAGAUUUAAGAAAAUUGACCAAUCACAAUCGAUUAUUCUUUUCACGUAAGAUGAAUACUUCACUAUAAUUUGUCAAUUUUCUAAAAUCUUAAGUCUUAAGUCUCACUGUAGACGCCGUUUUAAGGAGAUAGGAGGACGAAAUACGCAGAUGUAAUUAUAUGAAAUCAUAGUACGAGUUGCACCGACCAGGUCGGCGCGAGUCGCCGGACGUGGAGGUCGAAGGCAUGGACAGGAUCAAUCCCGUCGAGCACGAGGAUAGGAUACUCGGAGGAAUCAGAGGACAUCAGGAUAGAAUUUCCCCGAAUAUGUAAUUCCAGAUACGGAAUACUGCGGAAUACUAGAAGGACGAUGACGGCGAAGGAAGUGGAGUGGCAGGGAAAUAUUUUAUCAAACUCGAAGUGAUAAAUUGAUAUAAGUAUUUCAUAUUAUUCACAAUAGUGAAUAGUGAAAAAAUUUGCGAACUGAUAGCUUUUUAGUUCUCUCGAAAUCUUAAUCGUGUCUGAAUCGUACGUUUUUAAUCUGCGAUAAAGUAAAUUAACACCUUUCUGGUGCUUUUGUAUUAGAUAUUUUCGUCACGUCCCUUUCUUCUAUUCUUUUGUAUUUUUCUACAUUAUUUUAUUGUACAUUUUACACAUCCUUAAAAAGUCCAAAAACGCUAAAAUAUCUCGAAAAUGAUCAAUUCUAAAAAAAUGUGAAAAAUAUGUAGCAAAAGAGAAGCAAAGUUAUAGGAUUUAAAAAAUUUAUCUAACGGUAAAGAGUUGAUUUUGAAUGAAGUCUGCGAGGUCAUAUAAAGACAAGUUAAAUUAUUUUUUUUUUGUUAAGUAUAUUUCAAGUUACAAGAUUUGAAAUUUAUAAUUCUGCCAGCAUUAUCUCAGGUGUCUGAAUAACGACUAAAAGCUCUUGAAUAUUGUCAGGGUCAUGAAAUCAAGAUUAAGGUCAUUAGAGUGUUCCUGUAAUGAAUGUACUAAUUGCAUCUGACUGUUUGCAAGAUUAAUCAAACUCUCGUUGCCUCUCAUCUUACAGCUCACAGUUUACCAUUUUGACGAUUUUCUCGAGAACUUCGUGAAUAAAUUCCAAAGCGCGUCAUUACAAGUACGUUAAGUAUUAACUUCUCAAAGCUAUCUGUAAGUAAACGAAUACGAUAGAUUCGUCUCGUGGAAUCACUGGCUCUGUCCGAGAUUUUCUAGUCAAGUUGGAAUCGAUAUCUUCUUUCAGAAGAUGUCAAAAUACUCUUGCCAGUUUUGUUCAAUUGGUCGUUGAAAAUGGAAGACUUUUUGUGCAAAUAAAUAUUGAUUAAGAAUACUAGCUCUAACAGAAUUUUAAUUGGAAUUUAAUAUACUCACACAUUGAAUGGCCGGAUUUACAUAUAAACUUUACGUAAGAGCACGUAAGAACUGCGCAGCAUAAAGAGUUUUAUAGUAUAGAAGGUUUUGCGCUACGUUAAAAUACUUAUCGAUAAUUAUUAUUAUAUUUAUAAUAUUAACAAUUUAUUUUUACAGAUAUGAACGAUAUUGAAAUCGAAACUGACAAUCUAAUCGUUUCCAAUGUCUUUUUUUAGCUUACUUAAAUUUUUCUAUAGUAAGAACGAUAAAAGAAUAUACGCAUGAUUUGCUAAAAUUAUCAAAAGGAAAAUAAAAUUACUUAAAAAGUUAUGCAAGAGAUUUAGGGAUACAUUAAUACGAAAUUAUUUAUAUUGCAGGAAUCUUGUGAUACAGACAAAUACAAAAUAUUCUGAAAGAUAUUCCCUACACGAUGUCAAAAAAAAAUUGUAAUAAGUGCAUGUACAAAUUUCACUGGGAACCACAAAUUAAGAAUAUUAUAGCGAAGAAGCUCCUGAUAACAAUAUUUCUUUUUGAAAUCAUAGUUUGUUAAUAAAAAUAUAGGAGGCGUUCUCAGUAAAUACUAAAGAGAUGUUUUCAUAUAGAGAAAGAUACUAGAGACACAUGCAAAUAUGAAUGUAAAAAACUAUGUUAAAGACAAUGCGUAAAUUUAUACACGUAUUUUAUAUUUUGUGACAUUUUCUUUUAAGUCUUUUAAUUUUAUGUCACCAUAACAAUUUUCAGUCACCAUAACAUUUAUAGUACAUAUAAUAUUUAUUUAUAGUAUAGAUUCAGUGCGCAUUAAUAUGUACAGUAAGAUCAAUUGAUAUUGAUCUUACUAUAAGUGACUAACCAAAUUUUAAAAAUGUUAAAAGAAAAAACAUUAUUUUACUCCUCAUUCAUUGAAGUGACGAAUAUGAUUUAUUUUGAAAUAAAUGCUUGUGAGAAAUAA